rnacentral:lncRNA from 1 species
GAUAUAGAAGUUCAGUUUGCCAUAGCAAGAAUUUCUUCACCUAGGAGUACUUGGGUAAGACAUUUAAACCUUAGUUGUAUAUGGUUAGCACUAAAAUGCUUUCAAAUUGGAUAAGGAUGUGUAUGUAAAUUCAAGUUCAUCUUUUUUAUAUGUGUGCCGGCUUCUGUUUGCUUGGGCUGUUCUUGAUCUGCUAUGAAUAGGAAGUAUACUUCACAAUUUUAGAAAGUCUGCUGUCUUUAACCUUUCUUCAUUCAACCCUCGUAUCAUGUUUCUGCCUUAAACAAACAAACAAACAAACAAAACAAAAACAAAAACAAAAAAUCAAGUGAGACCUCUAUUUAAUUGUUAACUUAAGGGGCUGGAGUAAUAGUUCAGUGGUUAAGAGUACUGACUGCUCUUCCUGAGGUCCUGAGUUCAAUUCCCAGCAACUACAUGGUUGCUUACAAGCAUUGGUAAUGGGAUCUGAUGCCUUCUUCUGGUGUGUCUGAAGACAGCAACAGUGUACUCAUAUAUGUAAGUAAUAAUUCUUAAAAAAAUAAUUUACUUAUCUUGUUCUCUUUCAGUUUUAAAUCAAUUAAUCAAUCUAUCAAUCUAUCUAUCUAUCUAUCUAUCUAUCUAUCUAUCUAUCUAUCUAUCUAUCUUUCUGUCCCAAGUCUUACUCCUAUCAAAGCUGAUACAAAUUUGAGUGUACUCCAGUAGUGUUCUUGGAUACAGUCCUUUUCUUUACAUAGUAAUGUCUCCUAAUUGAUAGUGGCAUUGCUCAGUCCUCAUAGAACAAUGGUCAGUGUUUUGUUUGAAUACACUUGGAAGUUCUGUAAAGUCUUCCCAAUUUAUAUAUUAGUGAAAGGAGCGAUUUUAGUUAUUCAAAUUCAAAAAUGUUUUUAUCUUUUUGAAGCAAUACAGAAAAAUGGCUUACAACAUGAGACUUGAUUCUUGAAAAAAGCUGCAUUAGCAUCAAAAGACUAACUUUCAACCUAUGUUUCUUUGGAUAGAAGACUAUCAGGGGAAUAGAUUGACAAAACAAAUAUUUUUUCAUUUGUGUUGAGAAUCAUCUUACCUUUUAAAAUGGCAUUACUUAUUUCAUACUAUCUAGAAGACUUUUAAUACAAAGGAAAGUGAGAGUAAUCUAUCUUCCAUCCAUUAUUCUUUUGUCUCAGUCAUGCACAUGUGUUAUUCACUCACACGAAGAUGAGGAUGUGUUCUGCUCUUAAGAGUCAUGCUGCGCAAUUGGAUUGUCUUGUUGACUUUGUCAUUGUAUUGUUUAAUUACUGGUUCCACAGGACAGGUGACUGUGUCACAGAAAUCAUUUUUCAGUGACUCAUGUACUGAAUGACUUAUUAAACAAAGCCUUCAAGUGACUGUUGAAUGACUACCAGUUUAUUGGAUCAUUAGACUGUAGCAACUUCGAAGAGAAAUAAGUGUAUGUAUCCAUCACGUUUUAGUUAAUUCACUUUAAGAAAUGGAAACGUAUGUUUUUAUGUAACUCAAACUUGUUGAAGUUGUAAAUAAAUUCUGACCAAUGUUUUCUUUCAGUUGCAGUGAAUGUGUUCCAGUAGAUGUGAGUAGAUGUGAUGAGAUUCUAGACGUUGAAUUACAAAUGCUAGCAUCCUUUGUUUACCACUUUCCCCUGACAUCAUGAGAGAAAUCUAUUUAUUUGGGUUAAGUAGCUCCUGGCUCAGCCUCUGUUCAUGAAACUGAGCUGGCCAGCUGCAGCAAAUGCAAAACUAUGUUUUCGGAGUUCGAGGCCAGCCUGGUCUACAAAGUAAGUUCCAGGACAGCCAGGGCUAUACAGAGAAACCCCGUCU